rfam:Gossypium arboreum cultivar AKA8401 contig_66_5, whole genome shotgun sequence.
UGUUAAAAAAUUCAUUCAUUUGUAUUAUUAAAAAUUGACACAACUGAAAGAAUAACAAGACAGACAUGUAAAGUGCCACAUGUACCUCUUGAUGUAUAGAGGCAAGUUUUUAACUAUAAAAAUGUAUGAAAAUUUUAACA